UACGUAGGGGGCUAGCGUUGUCCGGAAUCAUUGGGCGUAAAGCGCGUGUAGGCGGUCCGGUAAGUCCGCUGUGAAAGUCGAGGGCUCAACCCUCGAAUGCCGGUGGAUACUGUCGGGCUUGAGUACGGGAGAGGCGAGUGGAAUUCCCGGUGUAGCGGUGAAAUGCGCAGAUAUCGGGAAGAACACCCGUGGCGAAGGCGGCUCUCUGGGACGGUACUGACGCUGAGACGCGAAAGCGUGGGGAGCGAACAGG
rnacentral:rRNA from 1 species